UACGAGGGGGGCGAGCGUUGUUCGGAAUUAUUGGGCGUAAAGGGUGCGUAGGCGGUUUGAUAAGUCAUCUGUGAAAUCUCUGGGCUCAACCCAGAGUCUGCAGGCGAAACUGUCGGGCUUGAGUAUGGGAGAGGUGAGUGGAAUUUACGGUGUAGCAGUGAAAUGCGUAGAUAUCGUAAGGAAGACCAGUGGCGAAGGCGAGUCUCUGGACAGCAACUGACGCUGAGGCACGAAGGCCAGGGGAGCAAACGGG
rnacentral:rRNA from 1 species